rnacentral:rRNA from 1 species
AGUGAACGCUGGCAGUAGGCCUAACACAUGCAAGUCGAACGGCAGCACAGUAAGAGCUUGCUCUUACGGGUGGCGAGUGGCGGACGGGUGAGGAAUACAUCGGAAUCUACUUUUUCGUGGGGGAUAACGUAGGGAAACGUACGCUAAUACCGCAUACGACCUACGGGUGAAAGCAGGGGAUCUUCGGACCUUGCACGAUUGAAUGAGCCGAUGUCGGAUUAGCUAGUUGGCGGGGUAAAGGCCCACCAAGGCGACGAUCCGUAGCUGGUCUGAGAGGAUGAUCAGCCACACUGGAACUGAGACACGGUCCAGACUCCUACGGGAGGCAGCAGUGGGGAAUAUUGGACAAUGGGCGCAAGCCUGAUCCAGCCAUACCGCGUGGGUGAAGAAGGCCUUCGGGUUGUAAAGCCCUUUUGUUGGGAAAGAAAAGCAGCAGGUUAAUACCCCGCUGUUCUGACGGUACCCAAAGAAUAAGCACCGGCUAACUUCGUG